rnacentral:rRNA from 1 species
GACGAACGCUGGCGGCGUGCUUAACACAUGCAAGUCGAACGAUGAAGCCGGAGCUUGCUCUGGUGAAUUAGUGGCGAACGGGUGAGUAACACGUGAGUAACCUGCCCUUGACUCUGGGAUAACUGCGGGAAACUGUAGCUAAUACCGGAUACGACCCUCGGAGGCAUCUCCUGGGGGUGGAAAGAAUUUCGGUCAAGGAUGGACUCGCGGCCUAUCAGCUAGUUGGUGAGGUAGAGGCUCACCAAGGCGACGACGGGUAGCCGGCCUGAGAGGGUGACCGGCCACACUGGGACUGAGACACGGCCUAGACUCCUACGGGAGGCAGCAGUGGGGAAUAUUGCACAAUGGGCGCAAGCCUGAUGCAGCAACGCCGCGUGAGGGAUGACGGCCUACGGGUUGUAAACCUCUUUUAGCAGGGAAGAAGCGAAAGUGACGGUACCUGCAGAAAAAGCACCGGCUAACUACGUGCCAGCAGCCGCAGUAA